AAUGGAGAGUUUGAUCCUGGCUCAGGAUGAACGCUGGCGGCGUGCCUAAUACAUGCAAGUCGAACGCUUCACUUCGGUGAAGAGUGGCGAACGGGUGAGUAAUACAUAAGUAACCUGGCAUCUACAGGGGGAUAACUGAUGGAAACGUCAGCUAAGACCGCAUAGGUGUAGAGAUCGCAUGAACUCUAUAUGAAAAGUGCUACGGGACUGGUAGAUGAUGGACUUAUGGCGCAUUAGCUGGUUGGUAGGGUAACGGCCUACCAAGGCGACGAUGCGUAGCCGACCUGAGAGGGUGACCGGCCACACUGGGACUGAGACACGGCCCAGACUCCUACGGGAGGCAGCAGUAGGGAAUUUUCGGCAAUGGGGGAAACCCUGACCGAGCAACGCCGCGUGAAGGAAGAAGUAAUUCGUUAUGUAAACUUCUGUCAUAGAGGAAGAACGGUGGAUAUAGGGAAUGAUAUCCAAGUGACGGUACUCUAUAAGAAAGCCACGGCUAACUACGUGCCAGCAGCCGCGGUAAUACGUAGGUGGCGAGCGUUAUCCGGAAUUAUUGGGCGUAAAGAGGGAGCAGGCGGCACUAAGGGUCUGUGGUGAAAGAUCGAAGCUUAACUUCGGUAAGCCAUGGAAACCGUAGAGCUAGAGUGUGUGAGAGGAUCGUGGAAUUCCAUGUGUAGCGGUGAAAUGCGUAGAUAUAUGGAGGAACACCAGUGGCGAAGGCGACGAUCUGGCGCAUAACUGACGCUCAGUCCCGAAAGCGUGGGGAGCAAAUAGGAUUAGAUACCCUAGUAGUCCACGCCGUAAACGAUGAGUACUAAGUGUUGGGAGUCAAAUCUCAGUGCUGCAGUUAACGCAAUAAGUACUCCGCCUGAGUAGUACGUUCGCAAGAAUGAAACUCAAAGGAAUUGACGGGGGCCCGCACAAGCGGUGGAGCAUGUGGUUUAAUUCGAAGCAACGCGAAGAACCUUACCAGGUCUUGACAUCGAUCUAAAGGCUCCAGAGAUGGAGAGAUAGCUAUAGAGAAGACAGGUGGUGCAUGGUUGUCGUCAGCUCGUGUCGUGAGAUGUUGGGUUAAGUCCCGCAACGAGCGCAACCCCUGUUGCCAGUUGCCAGCAUUAAGUUGGGGACUCUGGCGAGACUGCCGGUGACAAGCCGGAGGAAGGCGGGGAUGACGUCAAAUCAUCAUGCCCCUUAUGACCUGGGCUACGCACGUGCUACAAUGGACAGAGCAGAGGGAAGCGAAGCCGCGAGGUGGAGCGAAACCCAUAAAACUGUUCUCAGUUCGGNNNNNNNNNNAAGCCGCGAGGUGGAGCGAAACCCAUAAAACUGUUCUCAGUUCGGACUGCAGUCUGCAACUCGACUGCACGAAGAUGGAAUCGCUAGUAAUCGCGAAUCAGCAUGUCGCGGUGAAUACGUUCUCGGGCCUUGUACACACCGCCCGUCACACCAUGAGAGUCGGUAACACCCGAAGCCGGUGGCCUAACCGCAAGGAAGGAGCUGUCUAAGGUGGGACUGAUGAUUGGGGUGAAGUCGUAACAAGGUAUCCCUACGGGAACGUGGGGAUGGAUCACCUCCUUUCUAGGGAGA
rnacentral:rRNA from 1 species